CGGGCGAGCGCAGGGCACAUGGCUCGAACAGCACGCAGCCAAUCAGAGAGGCACUGUGAAAUGAGUGCUCCCUCCCUGGCACAAAAUGUCAGCCCCCAGUGUGUUGCACGGGGAGGGAUUUCUUGUUCCCAUGGCCACUGCAGAAUCUAGACACAGAGGCUGGUUUGGCCUGUUACUCACAAUUGGAGGCCAAAUUGGUAGGUUCUUGUUUCUCCGAGUAAGUGCAUCCUCAGUGUCUGUUAGCUCUGUGGAGAAGCACAUCAGCAUUGCAAGAGAAGAUGUGGCACAGGCUGUCAUGCUUGUUGUACCAGAGAUAGGAGUGUGCUGUCCUGGCCCUUUGUUCCGUUACAGAGCUCUGCUACUGCCAGUGCACCUACGCAGUGAGGAUCCAACAGCAGAAGAGCACUCUUUUGUCAGCAUCUGGUGGCUGUGAGGAAGAUGGUGCACCGUGCAAUUAGCUCCAGUAGAGAAAUCCUGGUGAGGGAGUAUCUGUCCCUCUGGCUUUAUCCAAGAGGCAGCGUUCUCAGGAGAGAUACUGUGGACCUCAUGAAAUGGGUGAUUUAGUUGUUUUCCUCCUGGCACACACUUUUGACAGGCAUGGCCUUCAGGUUAGUUGCAAGCACAAAAGUGGAAGGAGCCAAGGGUAGGAGAUUUGUCGCUUCUUUUGGACGAACACUCUAGGAGACAACCCACAACCAGGAAUAAGAAAGUUAGAUCUGGUCCUUUGCAUGAAUCUUUGUGGUCUUCUGGAAAUCCUUCAAAUUACUCCUCAGUUCCAGAAGCCUCCAGGUUUUUCUGUGUUUCCAGGAAACACCCUCAGGCGUGGGCUAAGACUGAGACAUAUCUAAAUACUGUCGUUGGGCUAAGAAGGUUCUUUGACAGUUUCCUGCCACUGAGUUUUCCAAAAGUCUGGCUGUUUUAUAUUUUUUCCCUCCUAGUUUUAAGCAGUCUUUGCAGUACAGUCAUCCCAGGGGAAUGGUUUUACAUUAAAAGGGGGCAGAUUUAGAUUUGAGGCUAGGAGGAAAUUCUUCCCUCAGAGGCUGUUGAGGCACUGGGAUAGGUUGCCCGGGGAGGUUGUGGAUGCUCCACCCCUGGAGGUAUCCAAGACCAGGGUGGAUGAGGCCCUGGGAAACCUGAUCUAGUGGGUGGCUGACCUGCCUAUGGCAGGGGGAUUGGAACAAGAUGAUCUUUGAGGUCCCUUCCAACCCGAGCCACUCUAUGGUUCUAUGAUUCUAUGAUUAACUGAAUGACCCCAAAGCACUGAGGAUCUCUGUUUUUACUGCUGUACUUCAGUGCACAAAUGGAGCCUCUCUUAGGUAAAUACUAGCAACACUUCCCUCUGGGUGAGGUACUUGACAAGGCAGGGGAACAGUUUUUAAUCAUGCAGAUUUCCAUGAAUUCUGGCCUCCUAAAUUUCAGUAGUGGAGCCAGCUGUAGGCUGACAUGCUCCUGGCAGAGCCAUUCUCCUUCUUAGAUCUUACCUCUUGAGCUCAAACUUCUUUUUGUUACUUAGCUUCUUUAGACUAGCUUUCAAAAGCUACAGCUUAUGAGUGUAUCCUUUGAUUACUCAGUUUAGACAAGCAUAUACCAAUUUCAUUUUGUUCAUACUGCUUUUUGACAUAUGAAAACAAACUUUAUUAUGCUAAAUAACAGAGGACCAGGGAACAAAAUGGCUAUUUCAGACAUCAUCUUGUAAUUAUAGAUUAACUUGAAGGAGAAGAGAAGGUGGUCUCUUUUAGGUGUAGUUAGCAUAGCCAGGCAUAUUUUUACAUGUUAGUAAAAAAAAUAAUAAUAAUUUGUGAAAGUCUUUCAACAGAAGAAAGAGACUGUGGCACGUAGGUAUGACAAAGAACUUGUUCCUACCUAUAGAAAUCAAAGUAAAAAUUCAUCUGGAAGAAGUCUCAGAUAUUGGAAAAUUUUUAAAGAGUAAUCAUAGAAUCAUAGAAUACCUUGAGUUAGAAGGACCCACAAGAAUUCACACAGGACCACCCAACAACCAGACCCAAUGUCUGAGAAUGCUGUCCAAAUGCUCCUUGAACUCCAUCAGACUCAGUGCCAUGACCAUGCCUUGGGGAGCCUGUUCCAGUGCCUGACCACCCUCUCGGUGAAGAAUCUUUUCCUAACACCCAGCCUGAACCUCCCCUGUCAAAGCUCCAUGCCAUUCCCUCGGGUCCUGUCACUGUCCCCAGAGAGCAGAGAUCAGCGCCUGCCCCACUGUUCCCUCUUGGCUGGAAACCGGAGGCUACGAUGAGGUCUCCCCUCAGCCUUCUCUGUUCUAGGCUGAACAAACCAAGUGACUUCAACAGCUCCUCAUAUAUCUUUCCCUCUGCACCCUUCAUCAUCUGCACAGGCAUCCUUUGGACAUUCUCUAACAGGUUUGAGUCCUUCUUAGAUUGUGGUGCCCAAAGCCACACAUGAUACUCAAGCGGAGUCUGCACAAUCACUGAUUAGAGUGGCACAAGCCCUUCCCGCAACAUUCUGAUUGUGAAUUCUGAUGGUGAAUCUGGGUGGCAACAUCGCCAGUUGUCUGCUUGCAUUACCAUAAAAUCCCACAACAGGAAUUUAUCUAGUAUAUUUAUAAGGAAUAAAUGUUAUUGAAUAAGGGAAAGAAAUCUUUAAAUACAGGUAAGCUUGCAAUUCCGUAUGUCAAUUAUGGGAAUGUCUUCAGAAAAGGCAGGUAACAAGGCUAUGUAAUUACACUACUUACUAUCUGUGGUAACUUUUUAUGUAUUUAUUUAUUUAGAAUUCUUUUCACCCUGUCAUUAAAAGAAUAUUGACUUGUGAUCUUCA